rnacentral:tRNA from 1 species
UAUCGCCAAGCGGUAAGGCACCGGAUUCUGAUUCCGGCAUUCCGAGGUUCGAAUCCUCGUACCCCCA